rnacentral:rRNA from 1 species
AAUCUACCUAGUAGAAGGGGAUAGCCCGAGGAAACUCGGAUUAAUACCGUAUACGUCCUUAGGGAGAAAGAGGGCUUAGCUUUGAUGCUCUCGCUAUUAGAUGAGCCUGCGUAAGAUUAGCUUGUUGGUGAGGUAAAGGCUCACCAAGGCGACGAUCUUUAGCUGGUCUGAGAGGACGAUCAGCCACAUUGGGACUGAGACACGGCCCAGACUCCUACGGGAGGCAGCAGUGGGGAAUAUUGGACAAUGGGCGCAAGCCUGAUCCAGCCAUACCGCGUGUGUGAAGAAGGCCUUCGGGUUGUAAAGCACUUUAAGUAAGGAAGAAAAGAGUAUUGUUAAUACCAAUACUCCGUGACAUUACUUACAGAAUAAGGACCGGCUAAUUCCGUGCCAGCAGCCGCGGUAAUACGGAAGGUCCAAGCGU